rnacentral:rRNA from 1 species
GAUGAGCGCUGGCGGCGUGCCUAAUACAUGCAAGUCGAGCGAACGGACGAGAAGCUUGCUUCUCUGAUGUUAGCGGCGGACGGGUGAGUAACACGUGGAUAACCUACCUAUAAGACUGGGAUAACUUCGGGAAACCGGAGCUAAUACCGGAUAAUAUUUUGAACCGCAUGGUUCAAAAGUGAAAGACGGUCUUGCUGUCACUUAUAGAUGGAUCCGCGCUGCAUUAGCUAGUUGGUAAGGUAACGGCUUACCAAGGCAACGAUGCAUAGCCGACCUGAGAGGGUGAUCGGCCACACUGGAACUGAGACACGGUCCAGACUCCUACGGGAGGCAGCAGUAGGGAAUCUUCCGCAAUGGGCGAAAGCCUGACGGAGCAACGCCGCGUGAGUGAUGAAGGUCUUCGGAUCGUAAAACUCUGUUAUUAGGGAAGAACAUAUGUGUAAGUAACUGUGCACAUCUUGACGGUACCUAAUCAGAAAGCCACGGCUAACUACGUGCCAGCAGCCGCGGUAAUACGUAGGUGGCAAGCGUUAUCCGGAAUUAUUGGGCGUAAAGCGCGCGUAGGCGGUUUUUUAAGUCUGAUGUGAAAGCCCACGGCUCAACCGUGGAGGGUCAUUGGAAACUGGAAAACUUGAGUGCAGAAGAGGAAAGUGGAAUUCCAUGUGUAGCGGUGAAAUGCGCAGAGGUAUGGAGGAACACCAGUGGCGAAGGCGACUUUCUGGUCUGUAACUGACGCUGAUGUGCGAAAGCGUGGGGAUCAAACAGGAUUAGAUACCCUGGUAGUCCACGCCGUAAACGAUGAGUGCUAAGUGUUAGGGGGUUUCCGCCCCUUAGUGCUGCAGCUAACGCAUUAAGCACUCCGCCUGGGGAGUACGACCGCAAGGUUGAAACUCAAAGGAAUUGACGGGGACCCGCACAAGCGGUGGAGCAUGUGGUUUAAUUCGAAGCAACGCGAAGAACCUUACCAAAUCUUGACAUCCUUUGACAACUCUAGAGAUAGAGCCUUCCCCUUCGGGGGACAAAGUGACAGGUGGUGCAUGGUUGUCGUCAGCUCGUGUCGUGAGAUGUUGGGUUAAGUCCCGCAACGAGCGCAACCCUUAAGCUUAGUUGCCAUCAUUAAGUUGGGCACUCUAAGUUGACUGCCGGUGACAAACCGGAGGAAGGUGGGGAUGACGUCAAAUCAUCAUGCCCCUUAUGAUUUGGGCUACACACGUGCUACAAUGGACAAUACAAAGGGCAGCGAAACCGCGAGGUCAAGCAAAUCCCAUAAAGUUGUUCUCAGUUCGGAUUGUAGUCUGCAACUCGACUACAUGAAGCUGGAAUCGCUAGUAAUCGUAGAUCAGCAUGCUACGGUGAAUACGUUCCCGGGUCU